UGCCGCGUCGCUGCUGCUUCCGCCUUCCCGGCAGCCCCUGCUCGGCGACCUUUCUCCGUUGGGUGCGGGUUUGUGGUUCCCCCUGAGCUGUCAUUCCGGCGCCAAGAUGUUUGAAAAUUUUAUUAAAAAUAUGUGGCUUCCCUUGAAACCCUACUAUACCCAAGUUUACCAGGAGAUUUGGGUCGGAAUGGGGGUGAUGGGCUUCAUCGUUUAUAAACUCCAUGCCGCCGAUAAAAGAAAAAAGGCUGAGAAAGCUGCAGCGGCUGCUCGUGAUCAUCAUUAACCAGCUCACUUGGAGUGCCUGUGAAAGAAAGCGUCAGUCUGCCUGUGAAUUUGAGCAAGCCGUGUUAGAUGGGCGUGUGGAACAUCACUGUACACUUGCAUGACGCUGACUUCAUGGCAUGAUAAAUAAAUCUGAGAUGCUCUGCUACCUGGUACUGUUUCCACUGUGUUCCCCGCUCAGCACCCCCAGUGUGUCAGGCAUACUCUUUGUAGAUCAUUUGUCAUGCAGCAGAUGCAGAGUGUCGCUGAGCCAGCCAUCCUUAUCAUUAUCUCAGUUGUCAUAGGAGCUGGUGAUCAGGAUCCUGGCACUCACUGCUCAAUAAAUGUGUGUUAAACUUGA